ACGGCCUAAAGAGUGGUUAAACUAUAUUAAAAUAAAUAGAAAUGAAAAUUAAUUUGACUGUCGCACGUAUUUAUUAAUCGUAAAAUCAUAAACGAAAGAUAUUCUAAUAAACAAAUUAUUUGAACCCACGAAAGCUAAGAAACAAACUAGGAUUAGAUACCCUACUAUGCUUAGCCUUAAACUUUGGAAACCCCGCCUGAGUACUACGAGCCACAGCUUAAAACUCAAAGGACUUGGCGGUGCUCUAUACCCCCCUAGAGGAGCCUGUUCUAUAAUUGAUAAUCCCCGCUAAACCUCGCCACUUAUUGCCAAUUCCGCCUAUAUACCGCCGUCGUCAGCCCACCAUUUAAAUGUAGAGUAGUAGACAUAAUGAUAAACAUAAAAACGUCAGGUCAAGGUGUAGCGAAUUAAGUGGAAAGAAAUGGGCUACAUUUUCUACACAGAAAAUACGAAAAAUAUUAUGAAAAAAAAUUUAAAGGUGGAUUUAGCAGUAAAAAGAAAACAGAGUGUUCUUUUUAAAUAGGCCCUAGAGCGCGCACACACCGCCCGUCACCCUCCUCAAGAUAAACAAUAAUAACAUAAUAAUAUUAAUACAAAAGAAGAGGUAAGUCGUAACAUGGUAAGUUUACCGGAAGGUGUACUUGGAUUAU
rnacentral:rRNA from 1 species